GGGGCAUUAGCGCAGCUGGUAGCGCAUCUGCUUUGCAAGCAGAGGGUCACCGGUUCGAAUCCGGUAUGCUCCA
rnacentral:tRNA from 2 species